CGUUCCAACUUCUGAUCGAUCACAAAAAAAUCCCCUCGCGUUCUAAUCUCUAGCGCCCUCUCUUGAAGUCCUGACCAGCAGCGCCGCAGAUGGACUCGGAUGAGGAGCCCGAUUGGAUUGCAAUUGCGCAGGAACUGGAAGAUGAGGAGGAAGAGGCGGCGGCAACUGCGGCAGCGGCGGCUGCUGCUUCGACCAAAUGCAGGCGGACGGACCAGCCGCACAAGGACAUUCAACCAGCUGCAUUUAAUCUAGAUGAUGUUAUUUCGGAUCCGGGUAUCCGAAAACAGAUUGAUGAGUAUGCUACCCCGACAAUUAGAGAUGAAAUGAGAAGAGCAUAUUUGUUGAAAGGUCCAUGCCAUUUGAUCGGUCAUAAUUUUCCACGCUCAAAAUUUGGUAAAGAUUGGCGGUCAUUUCAAGAAAGCUUGGUAUAAACAAUAUGAUUGGUUAGAGUAUAGUGUUGAAAAACAAGCUGCAUAUUGUUUCUACUGUUUUCUUUUCAAGCCUCCAAACAUUAGUGGGAAAUUUGGGUAUGAUGCAUUCACUAAGAAGGGGUUUAAAAAUUGGAAGAAAGGGCCAGAGUACUUCAAGGUUUAUGUAGGUAAACAAAACAGCGCUCACAAUAAUGCUAGAAGGCAUUGUGAAGAUUUCAGAAAUCAAAAGCAAAGUGUGUCAUAUGCAAUCACUUGUCAUGAUGAGAAAUCACAUCUGGAAUAUGAAGAACGCUUGAGGGCUGUUGUAGGCAUUGCAAGAUUUCUUCUUUCACAGGGGCUAGCAUUUCGUGGGCAUGACGAGUCCGACACUUCCUUGAAUAAGGGUAAUUUCCUUGAGAUGGUGGACUGGUUUGCCGAAAGAUGCAAGGAUGUGGCCAAUGUGAUGAAUGAUAAUGCUCCUGGCAAUCAUAAAUUGACUUCUCCUAAAAUUCAGAAACAAAUAGUACAAGCAUGUGCCGAAGAGACUAUGCAAGUCAUCAUGAAUGAGCUUGGGAGUGGUAAUUUCGCUCUACUUGUUGAUGAGUCUCGUGAUGCAUCGGUUAAAGAGCAAAUGGGCGUGAUUGUGAGAGGAGGUCAUUGAGUUUUGUGUUGACUUUAUUCCUGACCUUAAGCCGAUUGGUGUUUCUGAAUCGCGCUAUGAGGGGAGACUGCGUGGAAAAGGCACGCUAGGGAAGAAAGCAACAACGUGUAUGGAUGGACAUUCUUUCACUCAAGCACACUACACAAUUCUACAUAAUUCCAUCUUGGUGGCUCCGUACAAAGAGGAACACAAGGAUGAUAGAGGCGUGGCUUCAGGUUAUCUCAUAAACAUGGAAACCUUUGAAUUUGUUAUUAUCUUGCAUUUGAUGCUUCGAGUACUUGGUUUAACCAAUGAUUUAUCACAAGCACUGCAACAAAAAGAUCAAAACAUAGUUAGCGCCAUGAAUAUGAUUAUCUCGGUGAAAAGUCUAUUGCGGAAAUUGAGAGAUGAUGGGUGGGAGCCUCUCUUGUUGGCUGCUACUAACUUUUGCAUGGGAAGAAAUAUUUUGGUGCUAAGUACGGAUGAUAAUAUUUAUGCUAGAGGAUACCCAAGGAGCUCACGCAGAAUGGUCACCAACUUGCAUCAUUACAAGAUACAAAUAUUCAAUGAGGUGAUUGACAGAAACAUAGUUGAGAUGAAUCAUCGCUUAGUGAAACUUCCACACGUUUUUUGAAGUGCAUUGCAUGCCUAGAUCCUAGGGAUUCAUUUGGAAACUUUGAUCAUGAGAAGCUACUUGAGCUUGCAAAUAUUUACUCUGUUGAUUUCUCUUCACAAGAUUGCUAUCUUUUGAUUGAUCAACUCAACAUAUAUGUUGAUGUGAUGAGAAGAGGCCCAAAUUUCUUGGCUUGUGGUAGUCUCAGUGGUCUUGCUCUCGAGUUGGUUAAAACUGGACAACAUUUGGUAUUUCAUUGGUUUAACGCCUCAUUAGGCUUGCAUUGAUAUUACCAGUGGCGACUGCAUCAGUUGAGAGGGUUUUCUCAGCCAUGAAUAUUAUAAAGACGGAUCUUCGAAAUAAGAUAAGUGAUGAUUGGCUGAAUGAUCUGAUGAUAUGCUUUGUUGAACGAGAGAUAUUUGCAAAGAUAUCCGACAAGCAAAUUAUGUUACGUUCCUUGAAGAACCGCCGGGGCCAUUUACCUCGAAAAUUUCAUGCUGAUGCUACUACUACAACUUAGUGGUCUCGUUUCAACUUUACUCUUUACCCCCUUCAAGAAUAUUAUUAUGGACUUAUGGUUGACAAGGGCAUCUCACGGGGCUGAAAUCCAUGUUACAAGGUUUUAAGUGUAUUUUGUGUCUUUUCAUAUUAUUCUGGUAGUUUCAUUUCAUUGAUCAUGACAGUUCAAUUACGUUUACAAUGUAAUCCUAUGAAUUUUAUCUAAUAAAUUUGCGUUU